rnacentral:rRNA from 1 species
AGUGGCGGACGGGUGAGUAACGCGUAAGAAUCUAACUUCAGGACGGGGACAACAGUGGGAAACGACUGCUAAUACCCGAUGUGCCGCGAGGUGAAACCUAAUUGGCCUGAAGAAGAGCUUGCGUCUGAUUAGCUAGUUGGUGGGGUAAGAGCCUACCAAGGCGACGAUCAGUAGCUGGUCUGAGAGGAUGAGCAGCCACACUGGGACUGAGACACGGCCCAGACUCCUACGGGAGGCAGCAGUGGGGAAUUUUCCGCAAUGGGCGAAAGCCUGACGGAGCAACGCCGCGUGAGGGAGGAAGGUCUUUGGAUUGUAAACCUCUUUUCUCAAGGAAGAAGUCCUGACGGUACUUGAGGAAUCAGCCUCGGCUAACUCCGUGCCAGCAGCCGCGGUAAUACGGGGGAGGCAAGCGUUAUCCGGAAUUAUUGGGCGUAAAGCGUCCGCAGGUGGUCAGCCAAGUCUGCCGUCAAAUCAGGUUGCUUAACGACCUAAAGGCGGUGGAAACUGGCAGACUAGAGAGCAGUAGGGGUAGCAGGAAUUCCCAGUGUAGCGGUGAAAUGCGUAGAGAUUGGGAAGAACAUCGGUGGCGAAAGCGUGCUACUGGGCUGUAUCUGACACUCAGGGACGAAAGCUAGGGGAGCGAAAGGGAUUAGAUACCCCUGUAGUCCUAGCCGUAAACGAUGGAUACUAGGCGUGGCUU